GAUGAAGAACGUAGCGAAAUGCGAUAAGUAAUGCGAAUUGCAGAAUUCAGUGAAUCAUCGAAUCUUUGAACGCACAUUGCGCCCGCUAGUAUUCUGGCGGGCAUGCCUGUCUGAGCGUCAUUUCAACCCUCGCCCCCGGCUUUUGCUGGGAGCGGUGUUGGGGAUCGGCCGCCCGUCACUGGGAGGCCGGCCCCGAAAUAGAGUGGCGACCACGCCGUGUGCUCCUCUGCGUAGUAGUAAAUCAUCUCGCAGGCGGACAGCGGUGCGGCCUGCCGUAAAACCCCCAACUCUUUCUGGUUGACCUCAGAUCAGGUAGGAAUACCCGCUGAACUUAAGCAUAUCAAUAAGCGGAGGA
rnacentral:misc_RNA from 1 species